UGGGGAAUUUUGGACAAUGGGCGAAAGCCUGAUCCCAGCAAUGCCGCGUGUGUGAAGAAGGCCUUCGGGUUGUAAAGCACUUUUUGUCCGGAAAGUAAAUCCUUGGCUCUAAUACAGUCGGGGGAUGACGGUACCGGAAGAAUAAGCACCGGCUAACUACGUGCCAGCAGCCGCGGUAAUACGUAGGGUGCAAGCGUUAAUCGGAAUUACUGGGCGUAAAGCGUGCGCAGGCGGUUUGCUAAGACCGAUGUGAAAUCCCCGGGCUCAACCUGGGAACUGCAUUGGUGACUGGCAGGCUAGAGUAUGGCAGAGGGGGGUAGAAUUCCACGUGUAGCAGUGAAAUGCGUAGAGAUGUGGAGGAAUACCGAUGGCGAAGGCAGCCCCCUGGGCC
rnacentral:rRNA from 1 species